AUCUGGCUUAGUUAGGAGGCAAACAUAAAUUAUGAUCAUUCAGUACUUUUCUGUAUUGUUUUUGGUCGUUUGAGGCUUUCUUUUUUGUUUCUUUUGAGGAGGAGCAAUUGAAUUAUCUUCAAUUGCAAGCUUCUUCUUACCAAAAAGCUUCAGACAUUA
rnacentral:snoRNA from 1 species